rnacentral:rRNA from 1 species
CUGAACGCUGUCUGAAGUUGCCUUCUGAGACCUAUAACGAAAUUAGUUAAAACUUUCAACAACGGAUCUCUUGGUUCCGGCAUCGAUGAAGAACGCAGCGAAAUGCGAUAACUAAUGUGAAUUGCAGAAUUCAGUGAAUCAUCGAGUCUUUGAACGCACAUUGCGCCCUCUGGUAUUCCGGAGGGCAUGCCUGUCCGAGCGUCAUUGCUGCCCCAAGCCCGGCUUGUGUGUUGGGCCCCGUCCCCCCCGCCGGGGGGACGGGCCCGAAAGGCAGCGGCGGCACCGCGUCCGGUCCUCGAGCGUAUGGGGCUUCGUCACCCGCUCUAGUAGGCCCGGCCGGCGCCAGCCGACCCCCAACCUUUAAUUAUCUCAGGUUGACCUCGGAUCAGGUAGGGAUACCCGCUGAACUUAAGC